UACGGACAUAUCAUAUAUUGAAACACUGGUCACCGUACGAUCACCGAAGUUAAGCAACGUCGAGCCUGGUCAGUACCUAGAUGGGUGACCGCCUGGGAUAUACCAGCUGCUGUAAG
rnacentral:rRNA from 1 species